rnacentral:rRNA from 1 species
GACGAACGCUGGCGGCGUGCUUCAUACAUGCAAGUCGAGCGGGGUCCAUCCAGUGGCAACACUGGUGAAGACCUAGCGGCGAACGGGUGAGUAACACGUGAGGAACCUGCUCCAGAGACCGGGAUAACCCUCCGAAAGGAGAGCUAAUACCGGAUGCCCCCACCGGAUCGCAUGGUCUGGUGAGGAAAUGGAUUCCGCUCUGGGAGGGCCUCGCGGCCUAUCAGCUUGUUGGUGAGGUAACGGCUCACCAAGGCGUCGACGGGUAGCUGGUCUGAGAGGCACGUCAGCCACACUGGGAGUGAGACACGGCCCAGACUCCUACGGGAGGCAGCAGUAGGGAAUCUUGCGCAAUGGGCGAAAGCCUGACGCAGCAACGCCGCGUGGGGGAUGAAGGCUCUCGGGUUGUAAACCCCUUUCAGCAGGGACGAUUAUGACGGUACCUGCAGAAGAAGGACCGGCCAACUACGUGCCAGCCGCCGCAGUAAGAC